rnacentral:rRNA from 1 species
UACGGAGGGUGCGAGCGUUGUCCGGAAUCACUGGGCGUAAAGGGCGCGUAGGCGGCCUGAUAAGUAGGGGUGAAAGUCCUGCGGCUUAACCGCAGGGCUGCCUUCUAAACUGUCAGGCUAGAGCACAGUAGAGGCAGGUGGAAUUCCCGGUGUAGCGGUGGAAUGCGUAGAUAUCAGGAGGAACACCGGUGGCGAAGGCGGCUCUCUGGACGGUGACUGACGCUGAGACGCGAAAGCGUGGGGAGCGAACAGG